rnacentral:rRNA from 1 species
UGGGGGUGAAAGGCCAAUCAAACCGGGAGAUAGCUGGUUCUCCCCGAAAGCUAUUUAGGUAGCGCCUCGUGAACUCAUCUUCGGGGGUAGAGCACUGUUUCGGCUAGGGGGUCAUCCCGACUUACCAACCCGAUGCAAACUGCGAAUACCGAAGAAUGUUAUCACGGGAGACACACGGCGGGUGCUAACGUCCGUCGUGAAGAGGGAAACAACCCAGACCGCCAGCUAAGGUCCCAAAGUCACAGUUAAGUGGGAAACGAUGUGGGAAGGCUCAGACAGCCAGGAUGUUGGCUUAGAAGCAGCCAUCAUUUAAAGAAAGCGUAAUAGCUCACUGGUCGAGUCGGCCUGCGCGGAAGAUGUAACGGGGCUAAACUGUGCACCGAAGCUGCGGCAGCGACGCUUAUGCGUUGUUGGGUAGGGGAGCGUUCUGUAAGCCUGCGAAGGUGUCCUGUGAGGGAUGCUGGAGGUAUCAGAAGUGCGAAUGCUGACAUAAGUAACGAUAA